rnacentral:rRNA from 1 species
GAUGAACGCUGGCGGCGUGCCUAAUACAUGCAAGUCGAGCGAACAGACGAGGAGCUUGCUCCUCUGACGUUAGCGGCGGACGGGUGAGUAACACGUGGAUAACCUACCUAUAAGACUGGGAUAACUUCGGGAAACCGGAGCUAAUACCGGAUAAUAUAUUGAACCGCAUGGUUCAAUAGUGAAAGACGGUUUUGCUGUCACUUAUAGAUGGAUCCGCGCCGCAUUAGCUAGUUGGUAAGGUAACGGCUUACCAAGGCAACGAUGCGUAGCCGACAUGAGAGGGUGAUCGGCCACACUGGAACUGAGACACGGUCCAGACUCCUACGGGAGGCAGCAGUAGGGAAUAUUCCGCAAUGGGCGAAAGCCUGACGGAGCAACGCCGCGUGAGUGAUGAAGGUCUUCGGAUCGUAAAACUCUGUUAUCAGGGAAGAACAAAUGUGUAAGUAACUAUGCACGUCUUGACGGUACCUAAUCAGAAAGCCACGGCUAACUACGUG